rnacentral:rRNA from 1 species
CCCUUAGAUGUCCUGGGCCGCACGCGCGCUACACUGAUGCAUUCAACGAGUUUUACCUUGGCCGAGAGGCCUGGGCAAUCUUUUAAACCUGCAUCGCGAUAGGGAUAGAUUAUUGCAAUUAUUAAUCUUGAACGAGGAAUUCCUAGUAAACGCAAAUCAUCAAUUUGCAUUGAUUACGUCCCUGCCCUUUGUACACACCGCCCGUCGCACCUACCGAUUGAAUGGUCCGGUGAAGCCUCGGGAUUGUGGCCAGUUCACUUUAUUGGGAGUUGGCUGCGAGAACUUGUCUAAACCUUAUCAUUUAGAGGAAGGUGAAGUCGUAACA